UGACAUGACCAGGGUCUUACCAAACCACAUGGACUGAUAUGGUAAGGAAGAAAAGCAAGAACUUUUCAAAACAUAGGGAUUGAUAUGACAAGGGUCUUACCAAAGCACAUGGACUGAUAUGGUAAGGAAGAAAAGCAGGUACUUGUCAAAGCACAGGGAUUGACAUGACAAGGUUCUUACCAAAGCACAAGGACUGAUAUGGUAAGGAAGAAAAGUAGGAACUUGUCAAAGCGAAGGGACUGAC
rnacentral:lncRNA from 1 species